rnacentral:rRNA from 1 species
GGCCUCCUACGGGAGGCAGCAGUAGGGAAUCUUCCACAAUGGACGAAAGUCUGAUGGAGCAACGCCGCGUGAGUGAAGAAGGGUUUCGGCUCGUAAAGCUCUGUUGGUAGUGAAGAAAGAUAGAGGUAGUAACUGGCCUUUAUUUGACGGUAAUUACUUAGAAAGUCACGGCUAACUACGUGCCAGCAGCCGCGGUAAUACGUAGGUGGCAAGCGUUGUCCGGAUUUAUUGGGCGUAAAGCGAGUGCAGGCGGUUCAAUAAGUCUGAUGUGAAAGCCUUUUGCCCAAC